CCUUUGUACACACCGCCCGUCGCUACUACCGAUUGAAUGGCUUAGUGAGACCUCCGGAUUGGCUUUGGGGAGUCGGCAACGACACCCCGUUGCUGAGAAGUUGGUCAAACUUGGUCAUUUAGAGG
rnacentral:rRNA from 1 species